UCCAUCCCUAGACCUUUUUUUAUUUUUCCAGCUUGCCUCUUAAACAUCAGAACAUAUCCAUCCCCUUCUCUUAGCUUUGAACCCCAACCUCUUGCGUAGUCAAUCCGGCAAAGUUUUCCGUCAUCACUCAGGCAAAAGCUAUCGUAUUUCUUUUCCAUUACACAUCCCAACUCACACACAACCUAGGGUAAGUAAUUUAAUAGUAACGACAAAUAGUCACCAUCUUGCUCCUUUAUAAUCUUACCAACUGAUGUGGGAUGCCACAAAGUUCUAUGUGCUUGGGUAAGCUACCAAUUUUAUUUUAUUUGACAAUUUUUUUCCUCUGAAACUUUAUUUGUAAUUGGGUGAAUAAAUUCAUUUAGUUAAUACCUAAUUUGGUACCCUAAAUGUGUUUGUGAAAAAAGAGUUGGGGUUUUUCAUGUAAUUUAUUUGAUUUGGGUUUCACGAGAUGUACUCCAGUGAAGCCAUAUACUUUUAUUUGUGAGUUUGUGGGCUUGAUUACUUUUCGCUCUUACUUAAUUAUUGGCACUACCUAGGCCUAAAAUGUUUGUGGCAUGUUGAAUUGGAUUUUCUUGAAUUUUCAAGGAAAAUCAGUGCUAGAUUUGUUUUUAACAGUAUUACAAUUUCUGUGCUCAGAAGGUGUUUGAAAAUAUUUCACAAUGAACACCUUUGAGUCGAAACAAAUAAAGUUACAAUUAACAGGAAAGCCUAAUUGCAUAUCAACAUGAUCUUUUUUGUUUAGUCAUACGUAAGGCCAAAACAUAAAAAUAAGACUUUUGGAACCAGAAGAUUCUGCUUUAAUAAUAAUGUUUGUGCAAACUUAUCAUAGUGCUUAACAUUUUAAUAUUAACUUCCAAAUAUCUUACUGGUACUAGCUUUUAAAAGAAACCACUUAACAUAUUUAGUUACUAUUUCAACAAUGUUACUUUAUUUAUCAUCUUGGUUAAGAAAUUUUAUAGAUGGUAUGAGAAUAUUUAAGAGAUAUGUCUUGUAUACUUUUAUAAUAGUAUUUGUGUGGAAUAAGCAGUUACUUACUUUUUGUAGGUGUAUAUCAAAUAAUAUGUGGCUUGCAUUGGACAAUAAGAGGUUACUAUUUGC
rnacentral:lncRNA from 1 species